CCGCGAAAGAAAUAACCACCCGGACAAACGGUUGUGCAGCCCACGAUGGGAAAUACACGCGCAGCACGCCUUGAAGAAGUCCAACUGCAUUGAAACACCGCCGCGCCCCAUCUUGCCUUCGCCUGCUCUCCCCGCAGAAGAAAAGCGCCGGCGCAGUUGCCAGCAACAUACUCCUAGGACGACGGACACGCUCGAGCCCUGAACUCGGGUAGGGGACCGGCGGGCGCCUGCUCCCUGGCCGCCAAUCUGCUCAUCAAGCGCCGCCUCCCAUCAUCCCCAACCGGAGGUGUGUAAUUUCGAACUGCACUCUGUCGAGGCCAGCGCAGGUCGAUAUUUGUCAUGGUCAGCCGCCGACACGCCGUGGUACAUCCGUGCACUGCUCGUCCAUCUUUCCAUGCGCGGCUGUCCCCUUUGCCGUUCCUCCGAGCGCCGCCGGCCUGCUUUGACGCCGAGAUCCUCUUUACACCCAUCCCUAUUUGUGCAUCAUAUCUGGGCCAUAGCUGCCACAUAAGAUGCGGAAGUUGGUCGUUUCCUGGCAGCUUCGUGGCUGUUUUGCUCCUGGUGACAGUCUGCUAUUGAACAAUCCCUCUCAUCAAUAUUAAUUGCUAUAGUUGGUGAAUCAGGAUUUCAGUUCACAUCUCACCCUUAGGAAUUUACUUCCAUCGUGGUACUGUUUUUUGUGUCUUUAAAUGGAAGUGAUCCCUUCAUUAUGCUUGUGGUUCAUCAUAGGAUCAUUUGUCUGUGACUCUGAAAUCAGCAAGUGGAAAGGCAUCCUAGCUUCUUGUCCAUCACCACUGUCACAACAGGAGAUUUGUCCAUUUUAAUGGGAGCAAGGAUACGAUUUCAUCUGAGAUGUCAGGAGCAUUGAUCUGGAUAUGGUUUGCCCGCUAAUGGCCAAGCUAGGCAGCUGUCCUAUAAGCCUUCUGAUUGCCAAUACAGGUUUCUUAAUUAUAAUAACUACACCGCCAAUGUGAAAAGUUAAUUUUAUGGUAUUACUAACUUUUAUCAUUUUGCUCUUAGUUUUCCUUACUCGUGAAAACAGUGUUAGCUAUACUGACCUUUGCGUGUUGUGAAAACUGUAGUUUGGUUGAUAUUCUGUCAAAUCUAUUCCUUGCACCGUAGCGUGUGGUCUUUAUGCUGUCAGCAUGUGCCGUCUUCUCAAAGACAUGCAUUGAAUUCUCUAUUUCAUCUGCCAAUGAUGUUUCUAAAUAGCUAGAGGUCAGAAAGAAGGCAGUUGUGUAACAUUAGGUUGGCUGAAGAGUUUAGGUCGAAGAAUGACCCUCGCCGCCACUCUCUACAUUAGUCGAAUUCCUUAAUACCCGCCGAGCAUCACAAAUGUUUUGAAACUGUUCAACAACGAUAGCGACGCUAAUGCGAUCCAUUGGGAUAGGUUGCAACUCAACGCGUUGGACACCAGAAAUGGUUGCUGCAAGUAAUACAAGGUUGCCUUGCCAGAGAAGAAUGACUACCAAUUGUAUAACAAUAUCACAUUGCUUGACAUCAACGGUGAUGAAGCUGAAGACAACAUUUGUGACGUUUGAUCAAGGGAAUUCAAAAGGCCUCCUAGACUAGAUCUAGGUGAAUAAUAAAUUAGUUUAACCCUUCCUUUCUGUCCAUGACAUCCAAUUUGCUUUACUGAAAUAUGCUUAGGAUAUUGGAAUCGUAAUUUUUUUGGAACAUAUAUAAAUUGUCAACCAAGAGCAUGUAUGCCCAAUACACUACGUACAUAUAUAUUUUUCUAUAAACGUGUAUUUUCACAUAGAUCA